CCCAGGAGAUGGGCUCCUUCCUUUCACAGGCAGACAAGGUUCUUGCCUGCCUAUGUCCUUAGACCAACACGGCCACAACCUGCCUUCCUGUCACAGUUCCUAUGUUAGAUUUGAUAUAAUUCGAAGAAUUCUAACUAAGUUUUUUGGAAACGAAGUCAUCAUGGUGAUGGGGAUAACGGACAUAGAUGACAAAAUAAUUAAAAGAGCCAAUGAGAUGAAUAUAUCACCGCCAGCUCUUGCUCGUAUUUACGAAGAAGACUUUAAACAAGAUAUGGCUGCAUUAAAGGUUCUUCCACCUACAAUAUAUAUGAGAGUGACUGAAAACAUUCCUCAAAUAAUUUCUUUUAUAGAACAAAUAAUUGCUAAUGGACAUGCCUAUGCAACCUCCAAAGGCAAUGUUUAUUUUGAUGUCAGAUCUUGGGGAAACAAGUAUGGAAAGCUGACUAGUAUUUAUCCCAAUGCACAAGAAGAAACAGCUGAUACUGAUAAGCAACAUGUCCAAGAUUUUGCCCUGUGGAAGGCAGCCAAACCUCAAGAAAUUUUUUGGGCUUCUCCCUGGGGAAAAGGAAGACCCGGCUGGCAUAUUGAAUGCUCAACCAUAUCAAGUACAGUGUUUGGAAACCAACUGGACAUCCAUACUGGUGGCAUAGAUCUUGUUUUUCCUCAUCACGAAAAUGAAAUUGCACAAUGUGGGGCUUAUCAUCAAUGUGAGCAAUGGUGCAGUUAUUUUUUACACUCUGGGCACUUGCACAUUAAAGGAAAUCGAGAAAAAAUGUCAAAAUCAUUAAAAAACUACAUUACAAUUAAGGCUUUCUACACCUUGAAUUUAAAACUCAUGUGGAACUUUACUUGUGUGCAUCCUGAAGAAUUCAAGGAUUUUCUGAAGAAGUUUUCCUCAGAUGAGUUCAGAAUGUUUUGUUUGCGCAGCAAUUACAGAUCAGCAACUGAAUUUAGUGACGAGAGCAUGGAUGAUGCGAAGAACCUCCUUUGGGCAAUUUCUUCUUUUAUUAAUGAUGCAAAUACUUAUAUAAAAGGACAGCUGGUGUGUGAGCCCAUUAGAGAAGAUGUAUUGUGGGAGAGGCUAGCCAACACAAAAGUGAAUGUGAAGGCUGCAUUUGCAGAUGACUUCGACACCUCCAGGGCUGUUUCUGCAAUUAUGGACCUCAUUCACCAUGGCAACAGACAGCUUAAGGCUGUUACUAAGGAAUUUGGAUCCCCUAGAAGCCCGAUUGUGUAUGCAGCCAUAAUCUCCUAUAUCGAAAACCUUUUUAACACACUCGGAAUAUCUCUUGGAGAAAGACAGGUUAUUUCAGAAGACAGAACUCCAGUCAUGUUCUCUGGUGUGAUUGAUGAGCUAGUAAAUUUCCGUAUCAAGGUGCGCAAUUAUGCUCGUGCGAUGCCUGAAGCAACAGAGGUAGAAAGUACCAUGCAAUCCCAGGAAGCCAAACUGGAAGAGAAAGAAAAGAGACAGCUGUUAUUGCUGGAGAGGGAGCCCCUUCUGCAGGCUUGUGACAACCUGCGUCGGGACCUUGCUGCAUUUGGAAUCAACAUAAAGAGUUGUCUUUAAAAAGAGAGGCAAGUGUGCCCAGGAUUUAUAUUCCUAAUUUAAGCAUCCUAAACAGGUAGAUAGGGGGGCUACUUCUACGUGGGAAGCUGUGGAUCAAAGAAGAGAACAGCAAAGAACUGAAAGAGAGAGAUGAUUUAGCACAGGACGUGCUUGGACUGAUUGUAUGACAUUGGUCACUUCAGGAACGGAUGUAAAUAUUAUUUCCAAAUAAAAACUUCAGAAAAGAACUGCAAA